rnacentral:rRNA from 1 species
UACGAAGGGGGCGAGCGUUGUUCGGAUUUACUGGGCGUAAAGGGCGCGUAGGCGGCCGAUCAAGUCGAGUGUGAAAGCCCUGGGCUCAACCUGGGAACGGCAUUGGAAACUGGCUUACUAGAGUGCGGUAGAGGGGUGUGGAAUUCCCGGUGUAGCAGUGAAAUGCGUAGAUAUCGGGAGGAACAUCUGUGGCGAAGGCGACACCCUGGACCAGCACUGACACUGAGGCACGAAAGCGUGGGGAGCAAACAGG